rnacentral:rRNA from 1 species
CGGAGGAUCCGAGCGUUAUCCGGAUUUAUUGGGUUUAAAGGGAGCGUAGGCGGACGCUUAAGUCAGUUGUGAAAGUUUGCGGCUCAACCGUAAAUUGCAGUUGAUACUGGGUGUCUUGAGUACAGUAGAGGCAGGCGGAAUUCGUGGUGUAGCGGUGAAAUGCUUAGAUAUCACGAAGAACUCCGAUUGCGAAGGCAGCCUGCUGGACUGUAACUGACGCUGAUGCUCGAAAGUGUGGUAUCAAACAGGAUU